rnacentral:tRNA from 1 species
UGCCGAGUGGUGUAACGGUAGCACACGGGCCUUUGGAGCCUUUGGUUGGGGUUCGAAUCCCUGCUCGGCAGCCA